AGACGUCUACAUUAGAUACCCCUGUAGUCCCAGCCGUAAACUGUGCGCGUUAGGUGUAUCGGUGACCACGAGUCACCGAGGUGCCGAAGGGAAACCGUGAAACGUGCCGCCUGGGAAGUACGGUCGCAAGGCUGAAACUUAAAGGAAUUGGCGGGGAGCACCACAACGGGUGGAGCCUGCGGUUUAAUUGGACUCAACGCCGGGAAGCUCACCGGAUAAGACAGCGGAAUGAUUGCCGGGCUGAAGACUCUGCAUGACUAGCUG
rnacentral:rRNA from 1 species